CAAUAGCGUAUAUUAAAGUUGUUGCGGUUAAAAAAGCUCGUAGUUGGAUUUCUGCCGAGGACGACCGGUCCGCCCUCUGGGUGAGUAUCUGGCUCGGCCUGGGCAUCCUCUUGGAGAACGUUACUGCACUUGACUGUGUGGUGCGGUAUCCAGGACUUUUACUUUGAGGAAAUUAGAGUGUUUCAAGCAGGCUUACGCUUGAAUAUUUCAGCAUGGAAUAACACUAUAGGACUCCUGUCCUAUUUCGUUGGUCUCGGGACGGGAGUAAUGAUUAAGAGGAACAGUUGGGGGGCAUUCGUAUUUCAUUGUCAGAGGUGAAAUUCUUGGAUUUAUGAAAGACGAACUUCUGCGAAGCAUUUGCCAAGGAUGUUUUCAUUAAUCAAGAACGAAAGUUGGGGGCUCGAAGAUGAUCAGAUACCA
rnacentral:rRNA from 1 species